rnacentral:misc_RNA from 1 species
GAUGAAGAACGUAGCGAAAUGCGAUACGUAAUGUGAAUUGCAGAAUUCAGUGAAUCAUCGAAUCUUUGAACACAUAUUGCGCUCUCUGGUAUUCCGGAGAGCAUGCUUGUUUGAGUAUCAGUAAACACCUCAACUCCCUUUUCUUUUUUGAAAUUGGAGCUGGACUUGAGUGAUCCCAACGCUUUCUUCCAAGAAAGUGGCGGGUUGCUUGAAAUGCAGGUGCAGCUGAACUUUUCUCUGAGCUAUAAGCAUAUCUAUUUAGUCUGCCUAAAAAACAGAUUAUUACCUUUGCUGCAGCUAACAUAAAGGAGACUAGUUCUUGUGCUGACUGAUGCAGGAUUCACAGAGACAGCUUCGGCUGACUUUGUAAACUCGAUCUCAAAUCAAGUAAGACUACCCGCUGAACUUAAGCAUAUCAAUAAGCGGAGGA